CUCAUUAUAAUUGUAUUACAAUCAUUAAUUUGUUUUCAACUUUAAAUAUAAUAUUUAGUUGAUCUAUAUAUUUUAUAUUAAUAUUUUUUUUAGAAAUAUCAACUAGAGAAACAAACAAACAAUGACAACAAUAGAUAUCAGUUUCCUUACUUUUUUAAACACUUUAUAUAUGUGCUUAACGCUAUGUGUAUUAUCUUUGGUAACAUUGAUCUCGAAAUACGUAUCCGCCAUUUUUUGUGUUAAAUAUUUUUAAUAUUUUUUUUUAGUUUUAUUUUAAUAUUUUUAAUGUAAUUUCAAUUUUAAAUAAUAUUAAAAAUAUAAUCACAAUCAGACAUUAUCUAUACUUGGCCCAACUAUGAUGCGUCCCACUGUAUCACGAUCACACUGGGGUGUGUAUUUUUAUCAUAUAUCGUUUAUUUGAGUUAUACAAAUUUAAUUAAACGUGGAUUCUGCUGGAAAAAUAUGCAAAUGAAACAAGAUAUUUAAGGAAGUUGAUUUUUAAAUGUAUUCAAUGUAAUCAUAAAUCAUAACCUGAUUGAAAAUAACAGCAGCUAACGAACUGGAAGACGUUUUUACGUAUCAUUUCACUAAAAGAUAAGGAAAAUAAUAUAAAUAGAGCGGGCAGUAACCUCGGUACACAUAAAUGUUCUCAACAUCAUAAACGGAUUGAGAAAAGCUCAUCACAUUUAUACAAACAUAAAUAAAUACACCGUCGUUGUGAUAAGAACAAAACGGCCUAAAUGACAUUGGAAAAGAAACAAGGAUAUUAAUGGAGAUAAAUACAAUGAUGGUACAUUUAUGUCAUGGUUAAACCACAAAGUAUUUGACCCCAUAAAUAUGUUAAUAAUAGAAUAUGAGGAUGCCUAAACAAUAGUUUUAGCUUUGUUGCUUUGGUUCAUUUGUUUAUUAUAAUAACUCAUAGACAAAACCAUACCCGAUAUUUAUAUAAUUGUAAAUAAUCUGUAUGUUCUUCAACAGUUAAUAAGUUUUGAAUGGAGCAUCGACUAUUCAAAAGUAAAAUGUUAACUAAAAAUUGUUU